UACAUGUGUUAUUGUUAUGAAAUCUAUUUAUAGCCACAGAUCUGUUUACAAGUUCCAAUCAUUUAACGUUGUAAUAUUAUCAUUUGUGCUACAUUAUAUGUAUCAAAAUUACGAGUUUUUAAUAGUGCUUUAACAUUUAAUCAUAGUGGCAGAAAAGGGAAAGAAAACAUAAUUAACCUAUAAUUCGAAUCUAAAGUCACGUGGAUGAAAAUUCAAAUUCGUAGCCGUUACGUAUUGGCUGUCGGUCAGGAAUCGGGAUGCAUUGAUAAGUGAAUAUUAUAGAUUUUCUUGAACAAAAAGGUAGUUAAAGUGUUGGACAUGCUCUCAAAGGUCGGAGGGACGGAAACACGUGAAUAUGUAAAAAGAAACAUAUGAAAUGAAAAUGAUGUCACACACGCUAUUGGGCGCUACAAACGCUACAUAUCCUCCGGACAAACGAGGGGUGCUGAAAGAAGGUCAUAUCUUAAAGCAUCACACCUCAAAAUUCGUGCUAAUUCUCAUGGAUAUCUAAAAGUAUAACUUUGUGAAGUAACUAAAAGGCAGCAAUUUAUACGUUACUGACAAUAAUCAAAGGAGGUCAAAAUAUGCAAAAUGGCACUAAAUGUUUUAGAAAUGCUGUAGAUAUAUAGUUAAAGUA